AACGCACAUUGCGCCCUCUGGUAUUCCGGGGGGCAUGCCUGUUCGAGCGUCAUUACAACCCUCAAGCUCUGCUUGGUAUUGGGAGUCACCGCUUUGGUGCACCCUAAAAUCAGUGGCGGUGUCACCUGGCUCCUAGCGUAGUAAUACUUCUCGCUAUUGAGCUUCGGUGUAUGCUUGCCAUAACCACACUCUCAAAGUUGACCUCGGAUCAGGUAGGGAUACCCGCUGAACUUAA
rnacentral:misc_RNA from 1 species